rnacentral:rRNA from 1 species
GUAGGUGGCAAGCGGUGUCCGGAAUUAUUGGGCGUAAAGCGCGCGCAGGGCGGUCCUUUAAGUCUGAUGUGAAAGCCCGCGGCUCAACCGUGGAGGGUCAUUGGAAACUGGGGGACUUGAGUACAGAAGAGGAAAGCGGAAUUCCAAGUGUAGCGGUGAAAUGCGUAGAGAUUUGGAGGAACACCAGUGGCGAAGGCGGCUUUCUGGUCUGUAACUGACGCUGAGGCGCGAAAGCGUGGGGAGCAAACAGGAUUAGAUACCCUGGUAGUCCACGCCGUAAACGAUGAGUGCUAAGUGUUAGGGGGUUUCCGCCCCUUAGUGCUGCAGCUAACGCAUUAAGCACUCCGCCUGGGGAGUACGGCCGCAAGGCUG